rnacentral:rRNA from 1 species
CCUACGGGAGGCAGCAGUGAGGAAUUUUCGUCAAUGGGGGCAACCCUGAACGAGCAACGCCGCGUGCAGGAUGAAGGUUUUCGGAUCGUAAACUGCUUUUCUGUGGGAAGAGAACGGACGGUACCACAGGAAGAAGCCCCGGCUAACUACGUGCCAGCAGCCGCGGUAAUACGUAGGGGGCGAGCGUUGUCCGGAUUUAUUGGGCGUAAAGCGCACGCAGGCGGUUGCGUAAGUUUGGAGUGACAGUACCCGGCUCAACCGGGUGAGGCCUUCGAAAACUGUGCAACUUGAGGACCAGAGAGGGACAUAGAAUUCCGGGUGGAGUGGUGAAAUGCGUAGAUAUCCGGAGGAAUACCAAAGGCGAAGGCAGUGUCCUGGCUGGUAACUGACGCUCAGGUGCGAAAGCUAGGGGAGCGAACAGGAUUAGAUACCCGGGUAGUC